UUGAAAACAAGGGCCAAGUGAUGAAGACUGAAGUCAAGAAUGACCAUGUUCUUUUCUACUUGGAAAAUGUUUUUGGUCGAGCAGACAGUUUCACUUUUUCUGCUGAGCAGAGCAACCUUGUGUUCAACAUUCAGCCAGCCCCAGGCAUGGUCUACGAUUAGUACGAAAAAGGUGGAGAAGCAUUUCUUUUAACAAACUGAUUCUUCUGUAUCAAACCUGGAAAAAAAUCAUGAACCAUCUGACAUCGUGAACAGUCUGCAGUGGGCUAUGGUUUCUUGACAAGUCUUA
rnacentral:lncRNA from 1 species